UAGAGGGUGAGAAUCCCGUAUGUGACCGGCGACCAAGCCCAUGUGAAACUCCUUCGACGAGUCGAGUUGUUUGGGAAUGCAGCUCAAAAUGGGUGGUAAAUUUCAUCUAAAGCUAAAUACCGGCCAGAGACCGAUAGCGCACAAGUAGAGUGAUCGAAAGAUGAAAAGCACUUUGGAAAGAGAGUCAAAAAGUACGUGAAAUUGUUGAAAGGGAAGCGCUUGCAACCAGACCUGCCCGCGGGCGAUCAGCCGUCCUUCUGGGCGGUGCACUCGACCGCGAUCAGGCCAGCAUCGGUUCGGGCGGCCGGAUAAAGGCCCUGGGAACGUAGCUCCUUUCGGGGAGUGUUAUAGCCCUCGGUGCAAUGCGGCCAGCCUGGACCGAGGACCGCGCUUCGGCUAGGAUGCUGGCGUAAUGGUUGUAAGCGGCCCGUCUUGAAACACGGACCAAGGAGUCUAACAUCUAUGCGAGUGUUUGGGUGUCAAACCCAUGCGCGUAAUGAAAGUGAACGGAGGUGGGAACCCUUCAGGGCGCACCAUCGACCGAUCCAGAUGUCUUCGGAUGGAUUUGAGUACGAGCAUAGCUGUUGGGACCCGAAAGAUGGUGAACUAUGCCUGAAUAGGGUGAAGCCAGAGGAAACUCUGGUGGAGGCUCGCAGCGGUUCUGACGUGCAAAUCGAUCGUCAAAUUUGGGCAUAGGGGG
rnacentral:rRNA from 1 species